rnacentral:rRNA from 1 species
AUUGAACGCUGGCGGCAGGCCUAACACAUGCAAGUCGAACGAGUGGCGGACGGGUGAGUAAUAUCUGGGAAACAGCCCGAUGGAGGGGGAUAACUACUGGAAACGGUAGCUAAUACCGCAUACCAUCGGAUGUGCCCAGAUGGGAUUAGCUAGUGGGGGGGGGAACGGCUCACCUAGGCGACGAUCCCUAGCUGGUCUGAGAGGGUGACCCGCCACACUGGAACUGAGACACGGUCCAGACUCCUACGGGAGGCAGCAGUGGUGAAUAUUGCACAAUGGGCGCAAGCCUGAUGCAGCCAUGCCGCGUGUAUGAAGAAGGCCUUCGGGUUGUAGAGUACUUUCAGCGAUGAGGCGUUACUCGCAGAAGAAGCACCGGCUAACUCCGUGCCAGCAGCCGCGGUAAUAC